rnacentral:lncRNA from 1 species
AUUUUACUCAACUGCGUCACCCACUCCAGUCAACAGAUGGCGGUCUGGGAAUUUAAGGCGAUGCUGUUGGUGUGACGUAUAAUCUAGUAGACGGAACGCUUCUCUCAACAGCAGGAACACUUAAUCAGCCACCUCGAAGAGGUCAGCUGGAUGGAGAAAGAAGCUGUCGUGGAAGAGGAGACUGUUUCGAUACAAAAACAAGUGGAGGGUGAGGCUGUUACUGUGAAAGAAGAAGAGAAAGACGUUUCAGUGAAAGAAGAGGAGAGAGACGGGACUAUCUUGGAUCCUCUGGGGAGCCUCAACAACAUCAUGAAGCUGAUGAGGCAGAGAAGAGUCUCUUCAGAUCAGAACACCUCAAGAAACACCAGCAGAGACCCACAGGGAAGAAAUCUUUCUGCAAAUCUUCAUCGGAACCUAAAAUACACCAGCGAGUACACACAGGAGAGAAAGCUCACCACUGUUGUGGGAAGAGUUACUCAAGACCAGAUGCACUGAAAGUACACCUGAGAGAAACAUUUUGGCUGUGAUCAAUGUGGGUUGUUGAUUGACAAAGUCUUGAAAAAUGUAAUAGAAUUGAAUAAGCCACAUUUUGGCUAUGAUAAAAGAUAUGUCUCUG